UUACGGCCAUAUCACGUCGAAACAACAGCAAUUUUUGUCUGAUCACCGAAGUUAAACAACGUCGAGCCUGGUCAGUACCAAGAUGGGUGACUGCUUGGGAAUACCAGGUGUUGUAA